rnacentral:lncRNA from 1 species
AGUCUUUUGUGAGAGGCAGGGCUUGUAGGCAUAUUUCAGUGGGUCCACUUAUUAAAGAAGCCUACAUUUUUCUCCAUAUAUUCUAAGAAACACCUGUUUCAUCAUAGGUCUGAGCAGACAGACAGAAGCCAGCACAACUGCAGGAGAAAUGAAAUGAGGUUCUAAGCCACCUUACAGCUUAUAUUGGCCCCACCAGUCUUUUUGUUCAUUGGUUACGUGAGUCAAAUUUAUAUCCCUAAAUCCGGAAUAUGCUGCCUCCAGAAUCCAAAGAAGCCUGAGAAGCAUGGUGAUUCCUUCUUAGUGGUGGAAAGAAUGAGUUAUACACAAGAUGAAUGGAUUAACCACUGGAAGACCUGCACUACUACAAAUGUUAAAGAAAGUCCUUCCAAGAAAGAAAAAAGGCAACUUAAUGGAAACUUGUGUCUACCAAAUGGAAAGAAGAGCAAUGGGAAUCCUAACUACGGUACACUGAAGAACACUUUUGCAGCUGACUAACAACUCUUGAUAUUGAGAAAGUUAUCAGAAUUAUUUGCAAAUCUCCUCUCAGAUUUGCAAAGGAUGCUGGCAUUUCUCCAUGAGGCAGGUAUACAAGCAACAUUUUGUGAAAUUGUUUGUCUGACAAAAUUGUGUGAAAUUUUCCAGAAUUAAAACAGCAUGUAAAAUUUAACUUCUAUAACUUUCUUUAAAAUAAAGGAAAACUGAAUGUGAUUA